GUCUAAGGCUUCUUUUCUUUGUAGUUUUCGAUUAUAUGAAACUUCCUCUCUCAAAGAUUGGUUAAGAUCGAAUGGAACUGUCUUUGAUUAGAUGGAAGCAGAUGGAUAGAUAGUGUGUAGUGAUUUAUUUAAUUGUAGUUCGUCUUUAUUAGUUAUAGAUGUCCCCAAUCCCACAUGUCUUUCUUGAUUAGUAAACCCAACCAUCGAUUUACAACAAACAAGUUUUUUCUCGUUUGUAUUUUUUAAGGGGUGCA
rnacentral:lncRNA from 1 species